CUUUGUUUAUUAUGUUUAUUUUAUUAAGAAAAGUGUUUUUUCAGUAUAAAUUUUGAGUAUUUUUCUAUCCACAAUCAAGAACAGCUCUUAGAUAAACUAUAAUAUAAUGAAAAUAUAGUGAUAUUACUACUUUAUACAGCGGAAAUUUUAAGAAAAAUUCAAUGUUGACAUAAUUUUCCGUUUUUCUGAAAAACGUUGUAGGAAAGCUUGUGCGUGGCGAAGGUGAAUGGUGGACUGAUUUCUGGCCUGGAGAAGAAGGCCAAUUGAUAUUAAGUGUGGUGCUUUUUGCUUUCAACCGAAGAAUCUCUUUUUCCUUUUAGUGUCCAUGUUUAAGAUGUAGAAAUUUAUGUUGUAAGAAUGUCUGAAGUAGAUAGGUACCUCAAUAAGUUACAAUUGUAACCAUGCACAGUUAGCAUCCUCAACUUAAGCAAGAUUUGUGUUCCACAUCUUUGUAUCGAUGGAACCAUUCUUGAAACUGGAAACGUAUACCUUCCGGAGUGUUUAAGGAAUUUACAAUUUGCAAUGGAUAUAUGUAUGUAUUUACAAUUUUUUACCAAACCAAAAAUUUUUAUUCUUGUUAUUUAUGUCCUUAAAUACUGUAUAGUAGGUAUGGCGACACUUGUGCCAGACAGACAACUAAUAUAGAUCAAUAGGCGAUCGACGUAAAACAGAUAAGGAUUUUCAAAAUUUGCUACUACAAGAAUAAACAUGUUUAAACAAGAAACAACCAUUUAAAAACAGACAAACCACUUUAAAAAAUAAAUAAAACAGACCUGUUAUUUUAAGCAUUUUGGUGGUUGU